rnacentral:rRNA from 1 species
GAUGAACGCUGGCGGCGUGCCUAAUACAUGCAAGUCGAGCGAACAGACGAGGAGCUUGCUCCUCUGACGUUAGCGGCGGACGGGUGAGUAACACGUGGAUAACCUACCUAUAAGACUGGGAUAACUUCGGGAAACCGGAGCUAAUACCGGAUAAUAUAUUGAACCGCAUGGUUCAAUAGUGAAAGACGGUUUUGCUGUCACUUAUAGAUGGAUCCGCGCCGCAUUAGCUAGUUGGUAAGGUAACGGCCUACCAAGGCGACGAUGCGUAGCCGACCUGAGAGGGUGAUCGGCCACACUGGAACUGAGACACGGUCCAGACUCCUACGGGAGGCAGCAGUAGGGAAUCUUCCGCAAUGGGCGAAAGCCUGACGGAGCAACGCCGCGUGAGUGAUGAAGGACUUCGGAUCGUAAAACUCUGUUAUUAGGGAAGAACAAAUGUGUAAGUAACUAUGCACGUCUUGACGGUACCUAAUCAGAAAGCCACGGCUAACUACGUG